rnacentral:rRNA from 1 species
UACGAAGGGGGCUAGCGUUGUUCGGAAUUACUGGGCGUAAAGCGUGCGUAGGUUGUUCAGCAAGUUAGUGGUGAAAGCCCAGAGCUUAACUCUGGAAUUGCCAUUAAAACUGCUGAGCUAGAGAGUGUUAGAGGUGAGUGGAAUUUCUAGUGUAGGAGUGAAAUCCGUAGAUAUUAGAAGGAACAUCAAUGGCGAAGGCAGCUCACUGGGUCACAUCUGACACUGAGGCACGAAAGCGUGGGUAGCAAACAGG